UGAAAGGGAAGUCCUGUAAAUCUUUUGAUCAACAGGCUCAUGAUCUCAAGCUUUGUUUAACCGGAGAAAAGGAACAUGAACAACAUUUGGAUAGAUAAUAAUCAUGUUUAACUGAGUCAGUGUGAACUGAAAGGGCAUCCAUGCAAUAACUAGUGGAGUUUUACUCAAGGGCACUAUCCUACGGACCCUACCCAGUGUGUGAACAAUGCAGAGGCCUAUUCAUAUGUAGUAGUUUAUGAAACUGACACCUACCAUUACUCAAGAGAUGCACCYGUUUCAUUGCAGUGUGAGGAUGACCAAUUUGGUUUCAAUGCGGUCGUGGUUACAGAAGAGGUGUCUUUUCCUUUAUGGAGAUGUACUCCAUUUCUAAGCCAUAACAGACCAAACAACCUUGCAGAAGCAGACAGAGGUCUGUCUGGAAGUAAUGGAGAAAUGUUGGAUCUGGUGGCAGUAAAUGAACAAUCUUUUCCAAACUUCACUCCAAGACGAUCUGACCAUGUGCAUCUAACUCAUAUAUAUCCUAGUGUGAACAACUACCUCACUCAAGAAAUACUGGAUCUGGUGGCAGUAGAAGAACAAUCUUUUCCAAACUUCACUCCAAGACCUUCUCACCAUGUGCAUCUACCUCAUACACAUCCUACUGUGAACAACAAUCUCACUCAAGGUCAAGGGCAUGGCUCACUACAACAAUAUCUAUGCCCUAAAUAAACUAUCAUUGAACUAUAAUUGUUACUACGAAUGACGCCUGAAAUAUCUAAACAUAUAGUAAACCAAAUGACUUAAUCAUUUGUGCUGUUAUACAAUCCAAUACACAGAAGCCAAAUGGUCCACUGAGCAAUCAGUCCAAAUUAUGUCAAGCAAUAUAUGUAGUUAAAUUCUGCAUUUUCAUUAGUUUUGACGCUGUCCAGAGAACAAAUAACUAAAGCCAACCUGCUAUGUCUGGUUGCAUGUCUUGGUAGAUAUGGAGCCCUCUUGACUGAUCGAACGUUGGUAUGAAGAACCGAACACGGUGGAAGAUGACAAACAGGAUCGGGAGGAAUACUGAGUUAAAGUGGCGUGAUGUUGUCGGAGCAACAGCAUAACUGAACAUCACAGACAGCAAAAUUAUGUUCAUCAGCAAAGGGGGUCAUGAAGUGGUGGUUGUCACACAACAGCGUGCUAAGUGCUGAUGUCACGCAAGACAUCACGUUAAACGUUUGACCAUAACAUACACAUACUGUAACCUUCCUAUUUGUUUUGCUUCCUGCUCCUGUGUUGUUUGUAUUGUACAGUUUGUAACGUUCCUGUAAAUAAUUAU